rnacentral:lncRNA from 1 species
GUCUGAUUCAGAACUCCAGGGGCCUAGGAACGGGUUCUGCAGUAUUUGACUGUUUUGAGGCUGGUCUUGGGGCUGAGGUACGAAUCUGGUCCUACACCAAACCCAGGUACCAGAAAGAACUCAACGUCACGCAGCAGUUGCCUGACUGCAGGGGUCUCGAAGUCCAGGACAGCAUCCAGAGCUGCUGGGACUGGACCUCAGAACAUUACUUUAAACCACACUGACCUGGUUCCCUGCCUCUGCAUUCAGUUAUGGUCUCAGGAGCCAGACUCUGUUAGGACCAGCUUCUGCCCCUUCAAGAAAGAUCCCCGUGCACACAGGAACCUUUGGCACAUGGCCAGGCUGCGGGUGCAGUCCUCAGGGAGCUGGCUGCUAGACACGCCUUGCUCUCUACGGACCGAGGUGGCACUGUGCUGGCAGGCACCAGACCAGAGUCCCUGCCAGCCCCUUGUGCCACCAAUGCCCCAGAAGAAUGUCACUAUGAAUAGGCCAUUUGAGUUCCCAUUGGUGAAAGAACACCCCAACCUCUGUGUCCAGGUCCAGAGUGCAGAGCCGGCCUGAUGGGCUUCCUCUUGCCUGCACCCUCCCUAUUGGACUUCCUGGCCCUGGCUCUUGUUUUCCUAGUGCUCCUAACUCUGGCUCCUUCUAAGCAGACUCCUUAGGGCCCUUCAAGGAUGAUAUGCUGUUAGUGGAGAUGAAAACUGACCUAAACGACACAUCAGUCUGUGCCUUGGAACCCAGUGGCUGUACACCACUGCCUAGUGUUGCCUCCACGAGAGCUGCUCGCCUUGGAGAGCAGUUGCUUCUAGACUUCAGGACACACCAGUGCAUGCAGCUGUGGAAUGAUGAUGACCUGGGAUCACUGUGGGCCUGCCCCAUGGACAAACAUCCACAAGCGCUGGGUCCUAGUGUGGCUGGCCUGCCUACUCUUGGCUGCGGCGCUUUUCUUCUUCCUCCUUUUAAAAAAGGACCGCAG